GGGNGGAUGUAGCCAAGUGGAUCAAGG
rnacentral:tRNA from 1 species